UUUUAUUCUAUGGUUUUAUUUUUUGUUCUCCGCCUUUGCGUAUCGUAUCCCACUCUAGGGUUUCGAUAGAGAUGUUUCAUCUUCUUCAUACAGAUCCAUCAAUCUGCCGGUUACAGAUUCAUCAUCUUAAAGUCCUUAUUAGAUUCAUCAUCCAGUGUCGCAUCUACUACCCCAUACAGUGGCCUCAGCCUAAGAACGAAGAGAUUCUUCUCGCCAUGGAAGAAGUUGAGUUCGAAGAAAAGGUAUAUCUUCUCUUCUCUGUAUUCUUUCAUUGGAGUUUUCGUUUUAAUUGGCGAAAAUCAAAUAUUUGAUCCCGUAAGAUGAAAUUUGGGUGAUAUUCAUGAAUGAUAAGUUCUGGGUUUUGAUGCCUCCGAAGCUGUCAAUCUUCUCUACGGUGCCAAAACCUAGUCGAAUCCGGAGAACAGUGUGGGGAUCUUGACAAUGGCAGGAGGCAUCAAUCUUACUGUCUUUUGAGCCCUCGAUGUUGGAGAGUUUAAUUUGACAACAGCAACCCAGAUUGCUCAGCUUGCUCUUAAGCAUUGCCAAAAUAAGAAUCAGCGCCAAAGGAUUAUUGUUUUCGCUGGAAGGGAGCAUGGGAGGGGAUGAGCCUCAACAGAGGAGAAGAACAGCUGAGGUGCAGUGACAACAUCAUUGGAUUCCGCCUCCUCGAGAGUGGAUCAAAUGCAACACUGAUGGGUCUUUUCUCGAUGAAGAGCUCUAACUUUCUGGCCGUCAUUCAAAGCCAGGCUCGAAGAGCAACCAAAGUGGUCCUCCUCCUACUUACCCCAUGCCCGCUGUACCUUAUCAUCCACCUCCUUUUCCACCUAUGUCGUAUCCCACUGGUCCUGAUUUUCCAUAUGCUCUUUAUCCUCCUUACCUGAUUCCUGGAGCUCCUGCUGCAGAGUCUGGCAACGAGAAGCCAGUGCAAGCCUCCCCUCUUAAAUAUGCCGCAUGGAGCUGGACCUAGGGACUUUGUGAGACCUCCGUAUAUGGGGCAAGGUCAUGGGUUCAUGGUUGGUCCAGGUCCUGGCUUUCCCGGUCCUGUGUACUACUUCCCGGUUCCACCCCCUGGAGCUAUAAGAGGCUAUCCUCCACGCUUUGGCCCGCACCCUGGUAAACAGGGUCCUCAAGCUCUGUCUCCUGAACAACUCGACUUAAAGGAUAGAGUCAUAAAACAAAUAGAAUAUUACUUCAGGCAAG